rnacentral:lncRNA from 1 species
AUUUUUUAGUGGAUGAUGACAAGAAAAGUUUUUCUGUGUUCAGCCUAGACACAAUCUUUAAAAAUAUUUUCAAUCCACAAGAAUUUGUUGAAUCCACUGAUCUGGAAACCACAGAUAUGGACAGCUGACUCUAUAGUUUAUUAUAAGCUUGUAAAAGCAAGUGUGCCAAGAAAGAAAUGGUCACUGUGUUGGAUACUGCUGAGUAGGAAAAGUAGGACAAGGACAGAGAAACAAUCAUCAGAUUUGCCAUCACAGACAUCCUUGAUAGCAUUAAUGUGGGAUUUCCAUGGAGCAAUAGGGAUGAAAGUCCAAAUGGGCAAAAUAGGAGCUGCCAGUGUGAAGGUAGAGGCAAGGAGUACAGUGCAGGGGGAUGACUGCCUUUUUCCAACCAUUGUGUGAGAGGCACUGAGGGGCUCUAGGCUUUGCCGAGUGACCACAGCCCUCAGUCAUCACAAAGAGAAAAAGGCCUUGUGUCUUGGAAGUCAAGGCUUGGGCUUGCCAGGGUAGAUUAGUAGAUGAGUGGGGCUGGGGAGGAUGAGGUAGAUAUAGGAACCCAUGCCUAAUGCUGUCUUUUCUCUGUAUAAUGACAGCCUGGCUUUGAGAUAUCAUCUCUGCUCAUUGCCAGGAGGGUAGAAAGGUGGGCUUCAGUGCUGUCCAUCUCUGUGCUCUGCCUGUGUGUGUUAUGCUUCUGAGGAAGCUGCACUGUUUUAUACAACUACAUUCCAGAAAGAAAGACAGAGGCACUUCUUAGUAUAUAUUCCUCUGAUUUGUAUCUACAUGUGUUUAUUCUUGCAUAAUCACACAUUGUGAGCAGUUUCAGGCCUAUUAUUUUUCCACUGAAUGUUACAUAAAUAUAUAUUCUCUAUGUUGGUAUAUGGCUUUCAUGGAUAUUAUUGAUUACAUAAAAUUCACAUAAUACGCCCCAUGUUCAAUCAAUUCAUCCUCUACUGGUAUUCAUUUGAGUUAUUUUCAAUAUUUAUAGACAGCAUUGCAUUGAAUAUCUAUGUAAAUGGAACUUACUCUGAUAUAUUCUCAUAGAACUAAUAGAUUUAGGAUUCUUGAUAUCUACUUGCUAUUUGUUGGUGGGAGGACUGACUGGACCCACUCACUUAGAGUAGAUCCCUUACUCUCAUACACUUGUCUGGACACUAUCAUUUAUUUUUAUUGUUUUACUUUGAUGGGUGAAAGAGGGGUCUCAUUGUAGCUUCAAUCUGUCUUUCUUUGGUGGUUAAAUAAGAUGCUGAUUUUUCUCAACUGUUCAUUUACUGAUUCUACUUCUCCUCACUGGAAAAAAUAGUUCCCAUCAAGUGAUCCACAUUUGCACCUUUCCCAGUAAGCUUUCUGAAUGGUUAACCAGGCUGUCCUCAGCUGGUGGAAUGGUUCAAGAUCAAAUAUUUGUGUCCUCCUGCAUGUUUCCGCACCUCUAGCCAGUCUUCAACAGUCAUAUUCUUCCACUUGAAGGCCUCACAGUGGCCUCAUAUAGACUGUCUUGUAACCCUUCAUUGACUGCCUGUAGUCACUUCCCCUGGACUUAGAAGAGCCUUUGGGAAUAUAUCUUGACCAACUGAUUAGUCAACACUGACUGCUCACAAUUCUCCACAGUCUGCCUCUAUCCACUUGCCACCUCUCCCAAGGCAAUCUUGGGCUCUGGUUACCUUGUCAUUGCUUCCUAUUUAGGUAUGUUUCUCCCUCUCUCUUGUGCCUUGGUUUAUGAGACCUCCUCCAAGAAUGCUUCUGUUUACUCUUGGGCCAUAUCCAACUAAACUAAACUCAUCCUCUGAGACCUUGCCUCCUUGGCUAAGCCUUCCUGGAUAUUUUAAAGCCACUCAGCCUCCUGUGCCUCUGAACAUCUGAAGGAUUUAUAGUCUAUAGGGGCUCUUUGAAAGGGCUCCCAAUACUCCAACAAAUAGUUCCUUUUCCCUACUCAACUUCUGAACAAAUUGAGAAAGAAAAACUGAGAUGAAAGCCAAAUUGUCAUCUUCUUUAGUGAUGGAGGCUUAGUGAAAGAGGCAGUUUAGAGUGAGGUCAACUGGAUAUGCAAACUGAUGUGAGAAUUACCCCUUUUCCACUUCACUCUAGUCUCACAUGAUCUGGGUGAGAGAGGCCCCACAUGUCACAGUCAGUGGAGACCCACACAUGGAAGGGAACAUGAGGAGUAAGAAAUCUGACAGAGCUCCUCACAGACCAUACCCCAGGGGAAAAUGUUAAAUCCUGUCUUGAAUUAUAAUUUAGUCUAUCUAUGGGUUUUGUCACUCUGGCUACCUUUGAGUUCCUUGAGGCCCAAGGAAGGUACAACUUCUUAUUGUCAUAGUGCCUUCCAGUAGGUAAAGAAGACUCGCCGUUAGCAAACUCCUUCUUCCCAUGUCUACCCACUCCAACUAGAUCUGAGAUUCUGUUCUGUUUUGAAGACCUCAUUUCUCUACUGAGGCAUGCCUGAGUGUGCAGGCAGAACCUAUAGGAAGAAACAGGGAUGUAACCACUAUCAUUGACUCAGGUCUCAGUCAGGAUGGUGAUAGGCCCUUUUCUGAGAGCAAGCUUCAUGAAGGUACAAGGACUGAGGGGACUAUUAUCCUUGGUGUCCUUACACUAGGAUAGAGGAGACAGCCAAACAAGAGAUUGAGAUAGCACAGGCAUGCUUUGCUCAACUCAUAAGAGUUGUGCUAAGAGUCUCUUUAGGGCUUCUAGUAGACUGAUUAAUGAAUUAUUUCUCAUCCAAGGCAGAGAGGAUUAAAUAUUGUGGGCUGGAUGUAGAAGCCCAUGGCCAGAGCUAGGUUACAAACUUCACUGCUCUGCUGGCUGCUGCUUUCUAGAGGCAUUUUGAAGCCCACCUGGUAAUGCCUGGAUUCCAGAGCUGUGGGUGCACACACAUCAUUGUACCACAUAGAGUUAGAAAAAGAUCUCUCUAAAAAUAACCACCGAGGAAUAUUUAAUUUGAUAGCAAGACUGUGACUAAUCCAUGAAACAAAGAGUCUGUGUGACAAGAUGCAGUACAAUAAUGGGGAGAAAUUCAUGUUUGACCUUUAAGCAAGUGCAAAAUGAAACAGAUCUAUACCUCAGCAGCUGAGGAUCCUGUGGGUCAAGGGAGAGUGGCUAUGAAGAGGGGAUUUGGGGGCUGGGGAUUUAGCUCAGUGCUUCCGGUGCCUGUUUCGCAAGCGCAAGGACCCAAGUUUGAUCCCCAGUACAAAAAAAAGAAAAAGAAAAAGAAAAAAAAAGAGGGGAUGAGAACUGAUGGAAUAAAUAGUUCUUGAGGGUACUGCAUAAUGGAAAUAGCUUAGGAAAAUCAAUACCUUUUGGUGUUAAAUAGAGAGAAGAGGCUAGCACUGAGCUAAAUGCUGGCUGAGAAGAGGUGGAUGCUGCUAGCCCAGCUGGGCAAAAGUGAGCAAACUGGCUCUUUUAGGCUGGCUUGAAGGAGAAGCAGUUCCCACAAAUACAAUGAGAACCAGAAUUUUUGGCAACCAAUCUGAGCUGGUAGAGAGGGGAGCAAGGUUCCAAAUAUUUAAUGAACAUUUACCCUGUGCUAGGCUCUGUGUUGAGAGUUUUGCAGGUAUUAUCCUCAUACAUAUUCUUUCUAGAGAAGCUAUUAUUUUUACUUGACAGAGGAGAAAACUGGGUUUAGAAGUUUAAACCACUUGCCUGGAGUCAUCCAGCUUGGAAGUAUCUAGAGCUGGAUGUGAGUCUACUCCUGACUCCAGAACCCUCAAGCUCGAUUUCUCACUGAUAGUUCACUCUGAACUUGAAAAUCUCCAAGACUGUACAUCAACAAUGAACCCACUAAGAAAGGAAUUAGGAAAACAAUCCCAUUCAUGGUAGCUUCAAAAAAUUUAAAUACUGGGGCCAGGGAUUUUUCUCAGUGGUUCCGCUGCCUGCCUCAAAAGCGCAAGGUCCUGAGUUCCAUCCCGGGUACCAAAAAAAAAAAAAAAAAAAAAAAAUUAAAUACUUAGGUACUAACUUAACCAAGGAAGUGAAAAAUAUCUAUAAGGAAAACUAUAGCACUCUGAAGAAAGAUUGAAGAGGACAUUAGAAAAUGGGCAGAUAUCCUACAUUCCUGGAUGGGCAGAAUCAAUAUUGUCAAAAUGACCGUAUUAUCAAAAAUAAUACUUGGAUUUUAUGCAAUUCCAGUCAAAAUACCAACAACAUUCUUCACAGAACUAGAAAAAACAAUCCUAAAAUUUAUAUGAGGCUAUUUAUAUGGAGCCAAAGCAAUCCUGAACAAUAAGAGCAAAGCAAGAGGCAUUACAAUUCCAUAUUUCAAGUUAUACUACAAAGCUAUAAUCAUCAAAAGAGGAUAAAAAAUAGACAUGUACAGCAUUGGAAAAGAAUAGAAGAUACAGAAACAGCCCUUUUCACCUUUAGUCUGAUCUUUGACAAAGAUACUAAAAACAAAUGCUGGAGAAAAGACAGUCUCUUUAACACACGGUGCUGGGAAAAUUAGUUAUCCAUGUGUAAAAGAAUGAAUCUAGACCCAUCCGUCUCAUCCUAAGCUAAUAUAACAUCAAAAUAGAUCAAAGACCUACAUAUAACAACAGAUGCUGAACAUGCUGGAAGACAAAAUAUCUAAUUCUUGAAGACAAAGGCAUAGGCAUAGUUCUUUUUGAACAGAAUCCCAAACUAUACAUGAAAUAAUAUAAGAAUAGCAUUACCCCAAAUUAAAAAAAACUUCUGCAUAGCAAAGGAAAUAGAUUGAAGAGAUAACCUACUGAAUGGGAAAAUAAUUUUACCAGCUACUCCUUGAAGAGAAGACUAAUAUUUUGAAUUUAUAAAGAACUGAAAAAAAAUUAGACCUCAAAAAACAAAAGACCCAAUCAAAAAUGGGCAAUUGAAAUGAAUAGGCACUUCUUAAAAGAAGUGCAAAUGACCAAUAAGUACAUAAAAAGCUUUUCAGCAUCUUUGGCCAUUAAAAAACAAAAAUCAAAACACUGAUAUUCCAUCUUACUUCAGUAAGAAUGGGUAUCAUCAAAGACUCAAGAAACAACAAAUUUUGGUGAGGUUGUGGGGAUAAAGGAAACUUCUACAUUGUUAAUGGGAAUGUAAACUAGUAGAACCCCUAUGAAAAUCAGUAUGGAGAUUUCUCAGAAAACUAAAAGUAAAAAACUUCAAUUUGACCCAGUUAUACCCUUUCUGGGUAUCUUUCCAAAAGAGUUAAAGUUAUCAUAUUAUAAUGAUUAAUGAAUACUCAUGUUUAUAGCAGCACAGUUCACAAUAGCUAAAUUCUGGAAGUUACCUAUACUGUAUGCCUAUCAACAAAUGAAUGGAUAAAGAAAAUGUGGAAAAUAUACACAAUAGAGUACUACUCAGCCAUAAGAGGGAUAAAUAUGAGUUAUUUGUAGGAAAAUUGAUGGAUCUUGAGAUAUAAUGCUAAGUGAAGUAAAUCAGACACAGAAGGUUAAAUAUCACAUGGUUUUUCAUAUGAGAAAGCCAAAAUAUAAAUAAUUUAAACAGCAAAAUAAAGAUGGCAGGAAACAGGAAGAUUUUGAAGAUGGGAAGAUCUGGGAAAGGAAAAGAGGGGAAAGGGAAAGAAGAGUAAAGAUGAUCAACAUGCAAUAUGUGAAUGUACCAAUUCCCAAAAAUGAAUGUAAUUAUUAUAUGUCACAAACAUAUAUUAAUAACAAAUUUUAAAAAAGAAAAGAAAAAGCCUAAGCCUGGCCUGAUAGCCUGGGAUCAUGGGUGGGAGGCUGAGGACAGGUGUGGUUUCAGUGGGGGCUGUCUAGUGAUGAGUUCUCAUAGAAAAUUGCUGAGAUUCCUGGCAUGGCAGGUUUCUAUAUGGGAUCAUUUCUCUGAUUGUUCUAUAAUUCACGACUGCAUAUUAUAAAUUUUGAUCCAUUGCCUUGGGUUCUAAUUGGAGAACAUUCUCCAUUUCAUAGAGUUGCUUUCUUUAGUGGUGACAAGGGGAAUACUGUUCCUGCCACUCCCUGGGUAGGGAUCCUAUGUAUUCUGAGUACAUCCAACGUAUGCUCAUAUGAGAGUUUGUUAAAGAUUUUUUUUCCAUUCUCUAAUAAAUAUUUAUCAAGAAAGAGAUCAACAACGGUCUUUGAUUAGAUUCAGUGCCAAUUGGUGUCUGGCAUGCUUGGCAUUAUUCUGUCCCUGGCCCCUUUGCAUGUGCUGGGUUGUAGGUGGCAAUCAAGGAAUUAAGGCUGCAGCUGAAGCAGUGGUCCCAGAAACCCUCUUAGACACUGGAAAGUGACCUGGGCAGGGAAGUAAAUUGUUCUUCCUCUUUGAGCUUGGGAGAUGAGGCCUGGAGUUUGAGCACAGAUGUGCCAUCUUGAAAAUAAAAGAAGGAUUGGCUCGAGGAGAGAUGCUUGGAGUAGUCUUGGGUUAGGCAUGGUCCUGGAUGUCUCUGCACAGACUUUCUUGGGUGCUCAGAGAAUUGGGGAAUAUCCAGCAGUGCCUCUAAGCCCAGUCCAGGGAGAUGGACCUUUUCCUAGGCUGUUCCCUCGAGAAGCCCAGAAUAUCCUUGAGGGGCCUGGUCUUAUUCAUGUCUCUUAUCUUUGCUUCUGACCCAAGUCCAGCAACGAUUGUUGCUCUAAUGUCAUGUGAUCCAGCAAGGCUCUAAGACCAGACUCUGCCUCCAACUCUAGCCACACUUUUCCCACUCUCCAGUUACUUGUCACUCACACAAUACAUGUUGUUUUCCAUUCUUUGGCUACAUCAAGGUCCUCCCCUGCCAUGUCUACUUCCCUAAAUGCUGUUCUCUUUGUCUAGAACACUUUAUCUACUUCUUUACCUGGCUGAUUUAUCCACAUUGACAGGUUCCAGCUUAUUGUUUUUUUUUUUGUUUGUUUGUUUUUGUUUUUUUUAGUAUCAGGGAUCAAACUUGGGACCUUGCACUUGUGAGGCAGGUGGCAGCACCACUGAGCUAGAUCCCUGGCCUGACAGGUUCCAGUUUAGCUAUCAUUUCCUCCAGGAAGUCUUCCUUGACUUGCAAACUAGGUCAGGCUUCCUGGCUGGUGCUGUCUUUGUUCUUAUGUCUGCAAUUAGAGGUUCACUUGGGUAAUAAUUGGUCCAAUGUCUUCCUCACAACUAGAUGGUAAACUCUGUGAUGGGAAAGACCGUGGACAUUUUCUGACCUGAAACUUGCAUAAUAAGUGAGCAAAACUUUUUGGAGAAUAAAUGAUUCAAAUUUCUCACACUUCAGUCACAUAACAAUUCAAACAUGGGGUAGCUGGUGCUGUACCAAACAAACAGGCUUUGUUUUGCAGUUAAUGAAUUAGUGAAGGCAUAGCAAUUGAUUGCUUUUUAUGUGUAGAGAAAUUAUCUCUGUCCUGAUUUUCAAUAUCUGUGCUAUUUUGGGCUGUUUUUCUCUUUUUGGCCUAUUUGUAUUGCCGC